AGAACGAACGCUGGCGGCAGGCCUCAAACAUGCAAGUCUAGGGGGUGUAGCAAUACAUCACCGGCGGACGGGUGCGUAACGCGUGGGAAUGUACCUAUUGGUUCGGAACAACUGAGGGAAACUUCAGCUAAUACCGGAUGAGCCCGAAAGGGGAAAGAUUUCUCGCCAAUAGAUCAGCCCGCGUCCGAUUAGCUAGUUGGUGGGGUUAAAGCCUACCAAGGCGACGAUCGGUAGGUGG
rnacentral:rRNA from 1 species